ACUCCUACGGGAGGCAGCAGUGGGGAAUCUUGGACAAUGGGCGCAAGCCUGAUCCAGCCAUGCCGCGUGAGUGAUGAAGGCCUUAGGGUCGUAAAGCUCUUUCGCCAGAGAUGAUAAUGACAGUAUCUGGUAAAGAAACCCCGGCUAACUCCGUGCCAGCAGCCGCGGUAAUACGGAGGGGGUUAGCGUUGUUCGGAAUUACUGGGCGUAAAGCGCACGUAGGCGGAUUAGUUAGUCAGAGGUGAAAUCCCGGGGCUCAACCCCGGAACUGCCUUUGAUACUGCUAGUCUUGAGUUCGAGAGAGGUGAGUGGAAUUCCGAGUGUAGAGGUGAAAUUCGUAGAUAUUCGGAGGAACACCAGUGGCGAAGGCGGCUCACUGGCUCGAUACUGACGCUGAGGUGCGAAAGUGUGGGGAGCAAACAGGAUUAGAUACCCUGGUAGCGACUGA
rnacentral:rRNA from 1 species